CCACCCUCCUCACAUGCUCCAUUCCCUCCUUUUUUAAUCCCCAUCGCGCCCUAGGAAACCCUAGCUCCCUCCUCCCCCUCUUGCGCCACCACCAUCUCCUCCUCUCCUCACCCUUUUUCUCUUCUCUGUGAGCUCACGGAGGAGAAAACUCCCACAGCACCACACCAUGCCGCCAUGGCGCCGUUGCUUGAGGCUGCCCCUCGCCAAGCUGAGGGCACCGAAAGGUGCGCACCAUCGUCCUCAUCCUCCUCCUCGAAGGAAUUGUCCUAGGAGGCCCUGGGACGUCGUCACGCUCGCCGAUUCCGUCUCUGACCACCGGCGUUCAUCUUCAAAUUCCGGCCACUCCGGCGACCCCCUGAAGUCCGCACCACCACCAUCUGAUUCCCCAUGUUCUGGGGCAACCCCGAAGGCCUCCAGCUCGUCUUGGUUCGGCCUGGAACGCAAGAUCCGUCCGCAACCUGAGCCGUCCGCCAUGGGUGACAUCCUUGAGCUCCGCCUCUUUUUCCUUCAUCUUGCAUAGCGUCCUUGUCUCUACACGAAUCGAACCAGUAACACAGUGAUCCAGCGCCUACUGGGCCUCGGCCCAUGUUCCUGCCAGCUUCUUCGACGCUGAGCGUGCGGCAGGCCACCAUCCGUCGCUCAGCAUUUGCUUCUUCCCGGAUAGGAACGCGAAGUGGUGUGGUGAGAUACGACAAGUUCUCCGGAUGUUCCUCGGCAAGCUUUAACAGGCAAGCAUUUCCCCUAUACUCCUGUCCCUGCAGGAGUCGCUCACCUAUUUUAUUUUGCCUUCUCCCUCAUGCUAUCCUUAAGUUGCGUUCUUGUCACGUGUCCUUUCCACUUGUUACCUCAAGCAGCCCAUAUUGCCACCACCACCUCCUACGGCUAUUGUUUGGUUAUCGAGUCUGCCCUUGCGAGUCGUAGUGCAUGCUAGUGCUGUUUUAUCUUGUUACCGUUGUUGUUAUCCUAUCGGGUUAUAUGU